AAAUAGGGUCUAAUACCAUAAAGGCACCAGAUUCUUUCUGAUCUCGGAAGUUAAGCAAGGUUAACCCUGGUUAAUACUUGGAUCUGAGACUACCAAUGAAUACCAAGAGCUCCAUUUC
rnacentral:rRNA from 1 species